AAAAUAAUAGGAAAACAUAUUCCCUUUAUUGAAUGGAUACAGAAUCGUGCCCUAGCCUACAUCGAACGACAAGAUUAACGAAGUCGCGAUAACUCAUCUGCAAGCCUACAUCGAUCAGGUCUCCGGCAUCUUCUUCCAGAGAUAAAUCCUCUUCUUUCCCAGAAAUCUUCUACAUAUUGUGCUUCAAUUUCAUACUGGUUUCAUCGCCCCUUCGUCGGGUGUAUUUGGAAGAGGAGUUUUGGUCGAAGAUGCUUGGGAAAUAGCAAAGAGAUACUUGUCCUCUUACUUCUUGAUAGAUAUUCUUGCAGUUCUUCCUCUACCACAGGUUGUAAUUUUAAUUGUAAUUCCUAAAUUGCGGGGUGCUAGAUAUUUGAACACGAAGAAUUUGCUGAAAUUUGUUGUCUUAAAUCUAUAUAUUCCUAGGAUCCUUCGAGUUUAUCCUUUAUAUAAGGAAGUCACUAGAACUUCCGGCAUACUCACUGAAACAGCAUGGGCUGGAGCUGCGUUCAAUCUCUUUCUUUAUAUGCUUGCUAGUCAUGUACUUGGAGCGUUUUGGUACCUGUUUUCAAUAGAACGUGAAUCUACUUGUUAUAGAGCUUCUUAUGGAGCCAUCCAAAUGCUAGCAUGGUAGCUGUUAUUGUAAGCAAACUCAAUGAGCAGUGGAUGAUCUUCCAAACUUCCUUUGAUGUCUAGAACACACGCUCGCAAUAUGUCCUUGAGUGUCCGAAUGGUGCGCUCGACUUGGCUGUCUUUCUAUGGGUUAAAGGUUGUGCUAAAGUUGAUCCUUGUACCCAAAGAUUCUUGGAAUGAUCUCCAUAAGUUAGCUGUAAAUUGAGCACCUCUAUCCGAUAAAAUUGAAAUCGGUAUUCCAUGAA